rnacentral:rRNA from 1 species
AGUGAACGCUGGCGGUAGGCCUAACACAUGCAAGUCGAACGGCAGCACAGUAAGAGCUUGCUCUUACGGGUGGCGAGUGGCGGACGGGUGAGGAAUACAUCGGAAUCUACUUUUUCGUGGGGGAUAACGUAGGGAAACUUACGCUAAUACCGCAUACGACCUACGGGUGAAAGCGGGGGAUCUUCGGAACUUGCGCGAUUGAAUGAGCCGAUGUCGGAUUAGCUAGUUGGCGGGGUAAAGGCCCACCAAGGCGACGAUCCGUAGCUGGUCUGAGAGGAUGAUCAGCCACAGUGGAACUGAGACACGGUCCAGACCCCUACGGGAGGCAGCAGUGGGGAAUAUUGGACAAUGGGCGCAAGCCUGAUCCAGCCAUACCGACUGGGUGAAGAAGGCCUUCGGGUUGUAAAGCCCUUUUGUUGGGAAAGAAAAGCAGCAGGUUAAUACCCCGCUGCUCUGACGGUACCCAAAGAAUAAGCACCGGCUAACUUCGUG